rnacentral:lncRNA from 1 species
CCUGACCUUGCCAUUUAUACACCAGGUUCAAGUUUUCAGUAGAUAUUAUAUUAAUUACAUGCUUAAUCUACUUUCUUAAUGAAGCCUAUGAUAUAAUGUUUCAUACUAAGCUAAGCAUGAAUGACUCUUAGUAGGCUUAAUUGCUAAGCUAAGCAGCUAAAGCUCAUAAUUUUCUGAUGUUAUAGAGGUUGAGAAAACACCACAGAGCCAUACCAUUAGCAUUUUCUAUAUGUAAUGUAAUGGUUUCUUCUUUUCUCUCU